CCUGUGAGAGGUAAGUAAAACAAAGGACAAGCGUGUGAAUGAAAUCAACAAAGAGUUAAAGUCAGCCCCACCCCCCCUCAAAAAAAGAAAACAAUAAGUAGGAAAAAAGGGAAAAGUGUAACUAAAGUUACACCAAAGUAAAGCUAUUUAAAAGUUUUGAGAAAAUGUCAACGUCAGACAAUUAUUUAUUACAAAUAGCUUUGAUGUGACCAAUUUGACAAAAGUGCCGUGAUGUGUUGAAAACCUCUGAUCGUUUGCCAAAAAAAGUGUUACACAGAAAUAAAGCUUGUAAAGAAAAUAACUGAGGAGCUGAAGCUGUUACAGCAAAUGUUACGGUUUGUUUUAAAAGGAAGGUCACUGUUUUUCUUAAAAAAAAGAUUUUGACUUCAACCCAUUCUUCCUCCAAAAUAGCAAACAUACUCACCAGCCUGAGAAUAAAAGAUGAAAAAUGUUGACUUACCUCGAAGUGAAAAGUUGAAUAAAAUGAGUGAGAAAAAUGUCCUGAACUUAUUCAUGUCAGAACCAACAGAUGAAAAACUCUAGACGACAGUCUUUAAAGAAAAUUCACAGGGUCAGUUUCUGUAGUUCCAGGAAAAGACGGGAAAAAUGACCUUGAUGGAGUCGCUGAAGAUCCUGAGUCAGCUGAGGCCACGCCCACCACCUUACUCUCACUGUGUAUACUCUAAACAGUGAGACACACACACAGGAUUUACAAGCUUUCAUCUGGACCAGGACCAGAAACCAGCUGCUCACCUUGUCCUCACCCACAUUCAAAAACACAGACCUGUCCUAAAUUUGACCGACAGUUAAUCCAGAUUAUUUACAGAUUAAUGGACAGUGAAGAGAAAAAUGUCUGGACACGAAACUUGAGCUGCUUUGUUCUGCUCCUGCGUGGAGACAGAUUCAGUUUCUAAUAAAAAAAACCCCAACAAUUUUAGCUUCAGACCAGGUCGACACCAAGAACAGACCUCCAGGGAAACCCUGUAGAGACAGCAGCAGUGAAGAGUGUUGUUUAUUUCUGAUAAGUAUCUGUACAGUCAGCAGAAAAGUAAGGAACUGAUGAUCACAUUUCAGAGCAGUCAUCACGGUGGCUGCUCGAUACUGACACGCUGUCCGUGCAACUGCAGCGCCACCAACAUGUGUAAAGAGGUAAU